AGCAGUAGCCGCGGGAAUACGUAGGGUGCAAGCGUUAAUCGGAAUUACUGGGCGUAAAGCGUGCGCAGGCGGUUAUAUAAGACAGAUGUGAAAUCCCCGGGCUCAACCUGGGAACUGCAUUUGUGACUGUAUAGCUAGAGUACGGCAGAGGGGGAUGGAAUUCCACGUGUAGCAGUGAAAUGCGUAGAGAUGUGGAGGAAUACCGAUGGCGAAGGCAGCCCCCUGGCCUAACACUGACGCUGAGGUACGAAAGCAUGGGGAGCAAACAGGAUUAGAUACCCCCGUAGUCCCUGUCUCUUAUAC
rnacentral:rRNA from 1 species